GGUUUGUAGCUCAAUGGUAGAGUGCUUGCCUCACAAGCGUGAGGCACUGGGUUCAAUCUUCAGCACCA
rnacentral:tRNA from 1 species